AAUAGGAAAUACGGGAGCUUGAUGAAGUCAGGCUGAGAGUGCGUCCUCGUGACGCAGACCGUUAAUCUGAACUGGAUAAUGCCAGCGGAGAGAAUUUCACGAUGCGCCUG
rnacentral:ncRNA from 1 species